rnacentral:lncRNA from 1 species
CGAUGUCGGAGGAGCGGACUGACGGCGGCGGCGGGGAGCGUGCGGGGGACAGCGGGGACAGAGGGGGCCAGCCGGGGGCCAGCCCGGGGGACAGCAGGGACACGCGGGACUGACGGCCGAGCAGCAGGAGCUGAUCGCGCUCCUCAUCGCCGCCCACCAGCGCACCUUCGACUCCAGCUUCUCGCAGUUCAUGUGCUGCUGCCCCCCGGAGCGCCUGGUGGUGUGCAGCCCGGGGAUGUCGCUGUCGCCGUGCGAGGAGGCGCUGCCGGACGAGCCGUCGCUGCUGCCGCACUUCGCGGAGCUGAGCACCUUCAUGAUCCAGCAGGGCUCUGCCGCUGGAGACGCAGAUCUCGCUGCUGAAAGGGGCCACGCUGGGCAUCUGCCAGAUCCGCUUCAACACCGUCUUCAACGGGCACACCAAGGCCUGGGAGUGCGGCCAGC